rnacentral:rRNA from 1 species
AACGAACGCUGGCGGCAGGCUUAACACAUGCAAGUCGAACGGUUGCAGCAAUGCAGCAGUGGCAGACGGGUGAGUAACACGUGUGAACCUUCCUAGGGGUACGGAACAACUCAGGGAAACUUGAGCUAAUACCGUAUACGUCCGUGAGGAGAAAGAUUUAUCGCCCUUAGACGGGCCCGCGUCGGAUUAGCUAGUUGGUGGGGUAACGGCCUACCAAGGCGACGAUCCGUAGCUGAUCUUAGAGGAUGAUCAGCCACACUGGGACUGAGACACGGCCCAGACUCCUACGGGAGGCAGCAGUGGGGAAUCUUGGACAAUGGGCGCAAGCCUGAUCCAGCCAUGCCGCGUGAGUGAAGAAGGUCUUCGGAUUGUAAAGCUCUUUUGCCAGGGACGAUAAUGACGGUACCUGGAGAAUAAGCCCCGGCAAACUUCGUGCCAGCCGCCGCCGUAAUAC